rnacentral:rRNA from 1 species
CACUAACAGGAGGACCGAACCGACUAAUGUUGAAAAAUUAGCGGAUGACUUGUGGCUGGGGGUGAAAGGCCAAUCAAACCGGGAGAUAGCUGGUUCUCCCCGAAAGCUAUUUAGGUAGCGCCUCGUGAAUUCAUCUCCGGGGGUAGAGCACUGUUUCGGCAAGGGGGUCAUCCCGACUUACCAACCCGAUGCAAACUGCGAAUACCGGAGAAUGUUAUCACGGGAGACACACGGCGGGUGCUAACGUCCGUCGUGAAGAGGGAAACAACCCAGACCGCCAGCUAAGGUCCCAAAGUCAUGGUUAAGUGGGAAACGAUGUGGGAAGGCCCAGACAGCCAGGAUGUUGGCUUAGAAGCAGCCAUCAUUUAAAGAAAGCGUAAUAGCUCACUGGUCGAGUCGGCCUGCGCGGAAGAUGUAACGGGGCUAAACCAUGCACCGAAGCUGCGGCAGCGACGCUGAUGCGUUGUUGGGUAGGGGAGCGUUCUGUAAGCCUGCGAAGGUGUGCUGUGAGGCAUGCUGGAGGUAUCAGAAGUGCGAAUGCUGACAUAAGUAACGAUAAAGCGGGUGAAAAGCCCGCUCGCCGGAAGACCAAGGGUUCCUGUCCAACGUUAAUCGGGGCAGGGUGAGUCGACCCCUAAGGCGAGGCCGAAAGGCGUAGUCGAUGGGAAACAGGUUAAUAUUCCUGUACUUGGUGUUACUGCGAAGGGGGGACGGAGAAGGCUAUGUUGGCCGGGCGACGGUUGUCCCGGUUUAAGCGUGUAGGCUGGUUUUCCAGGCAAAUCCGGAAAAUCAAGGCUGAGGCGUGAUGACGAGGCACUACGGUGCUGAAGCAACAAAUGCCCUGCUUCCAGGAAAAGCCUCUAAGCAUCAGGUAACAUCAAAUCGUACCCCAAACCGACACAGGUGGUCAGGUAGAGAAUACCAAGGCGCUUGAGAGAACUCGGGUGAAGGAACUAGGCAAAAUGGUGCCGUAACUUCGGGAGAAGGCACGCUGAUAUGUAGGUGAAGUCCCUCGCGGAUGGAGCUGAAAUCAGUCGAAGAUACCAGCUGGCUGCAACUGUUUAUUAAAAACACAGCACUGUGCAAACACGAAAGUGGACGUAUACGGUGUGACGCCUGCCCGGUGCCGGAAGGUUAAUUGAUGGGGUCAGCGCAAGCGAAGCUCUUGAUCGAAGCCCCGGUAAACGGCGGCCGUAACUAUAACGGUCCUAAGGUAGCGAAAUUCCUUGUCGGGUAAGUUCCGACCUGCACGAAUGGCGUAAUGAUGGCCAGGCUGUCUCCACCCGAGACUCAGUGAAAUUGAACUCGCUGUGAAGAUGCAGUGUACCCGCGGCAAGACGGAAAGACCCCGUGAACCUUUACUAUAGCUUGACACUGAACAUUGAGCCUUGAUGUGUAGGAUAGGUGGGAGGCUUUGAAGUGUGGACGCCAGUCUGCAUGGAGCCGACCUUGAAAUACCACCCUUUAAUGUUUGAUGUUCUAACGUUGACCCGUGAUCCGGGUUGCGGACAGUGUCUGGUGGGUAGUUUGACUGGGGCGGUCUCCUCCUAAAGAGUAACGGAGGAGCACGAAGGUUGGCUAAUCCUGGUCGGACAUCAGGAGGUUAGUGCAAUGGUAUAAGCCAGCUUGACUGCGAGCGUGACGGCGCGAGCAGGUGCGAAAGCAGGUCAUAGUGAUCCGGUGGUUCUGAAUGGAAGGGCCAUCGCUCAACGGAUAAAAGGUACUCCGGGGAUAACAGGCUGAUACCGCCCAAGAGUUCAUAUCGACGGCGGUGUUUGGCACCUCGAUGUCGGCUCAUCACAUCCUGGGGCUGAAGUAGGUCCCAAGGGUAUGGCUGUUCGCCAUUUAAAGUGGUACGCGAGCUGGGUUUAGAACGUCGUGAGACAGUUCGGUCCCUAUCUGCCGUGGGCGCUGGAGAAUUGAGGGGGGCUGCUCCUAGUACGAGAGGACCGGAGUGGACGCAUCACUGGUGUUCGGGUUGUCAUGCCAAUGGCACUGCCCGGUAGCUAAAUGCGGAAGAGAUAAGUGCUGAAAGCAUCUAAGCACGAAACUUGCCCCGAGAUGAGUUCUCCCUGACUCCUUGAGAGUCCUGAAGGAACGUUGAAGACGACGACGUUGAUAGGCCGGGUGUGUAAGCGCAGCGAUGCGUUGAGCUAACCGGUACUAAUGAACCGUGAGGCUUAACCUU